rnacentral:rRNA from 1 species
UGCGUAGGCGGGGCGUUAAGUCAGUGGUGAAAUCUUGCAGCUCAACUGUAAACUUGCCAUUGAUACUGACGCUCUUGAGUGCGCUUGAAGUAGGCGGAAUGUGUCGUGUAGCGGUGAAAUGCUUAGAUAUGACACAGAACACCAAUUGCGAAGGCAGCUUACUAAGGCGAUACUGACGCUGAGGCACGAAAGCGUGGGGAUCGAACAGGAUUAGAUACCCUGGUAGUCC